GGGGCAGGAGGCAGGGGGCAGAGGCAUGGGGAUGGGGGCGGGAGGCAGGGGGCAGGGCAUGGGGUUAUAUUGUGCCCUUGUACCGGUGCAUUCAUUUUCCUUUUAAUACCUCUACUGUGUCUUAGUGAUGUGCAGUUUGUGAACAAUUCAAUAUUUUUGAAUGACUCUUUUACUGACUCAAGAAUCAUGAUUCACUCAUUUUACUUGUCCGUUUGACCUGGGAUUAAUACGCCCUCCUCCGGCUUAGCGGCUCUGGAUACGUGCUCCAACCAAGUAAUGCUGCAGGCAGCAUAGAGAAGAAAAAUACAUGUUCGAACUGAUCAUUGAUCGCAUGGUGCAAGAACGAAUGCAAUUCAUUGAUUAUUGAAUGUUAUUGAUGUUCAGCUCAAUAAACUCAAACUCUCUCUCUCUCUCUCUCUCUCUCUCUCUUCUCUCUUCUCUCUUCUCUCUGAUGCCUGGACAUAUCCCUGAUGGUCCCACACUGGAGAUGUAUGAGAGUGGACUGGGGUUAUUUGUAGCUCUGUGGCCAGGCUGGGGCUGGCUGAGGACUGCAGCCACAAGGGCCCCAGAGGGGAGAGGGAGGAAGACGCAGACAGACUCACGGAGACCAGCGGAGGCUGUUGUGUCUGCAGACUGCUCCAUUUAUAGCACAGAGACUGUCUGGGUAGACGGACAUGGAGCCAUUCACUUCCAGGAGCUUCUGGAAAUCAUGACAGCAAUUACUCACCUCGUACUGGACGAGUCGGAUGCAAAGGAUUUACUUCGGACAAGGACCAAAUCCCUGCAUUCGCAUGAAGAAGAGACAGCGAUAUCGGGGACGUAGGUCGGGUGCCUUGUAAGGAUCCGACGACGAGUGGGUAAUCCGCCACCUCUACCAUCCGUCCUAUUAGCCAACGUGCAAUCAUUGGAUAACAAACUGGAUGAGCAUAGAUCAAGGCUAUCCUACCAAUUGGACAUUAAAAACGGUGAUAUCUUAUGUUUCAAUGAGUCGUGCCUGAAUGACGACAAUAUAAAACAGCUGCCUCCGGUAAGACGAGGGGUGGUGAUCUGUGUCUAUUUCUCAAUAACAGCUGGUGCAUGAAAUCUAAUAUUAAGGAAGUAUCAAGGUUUUGCUCACCUGAGGUGGAGUAUCUCAUAAUAAGCUGAAGCCCACACUAUUUACCAAGAGAGUUAUCUAUAUUUUUUGUAGGUGUCUAUUUACCACCACAAACCGAUGCUGGCACUAAGACCGCACUCAACGAGCUGUAUAAGGCCAUAAGCAAACAAGAAAACGCUCAUCCAGAGGUGGCUAUCCUAGAGGCCGAGGACUUUAAUGCAGGGAAACGUAAAUAAGUUUUACCUAAUUUCUACCAGCAUGUUACAUGUGCAACCAGAGAGAAAAAAACUCUAGACCACCUUUACUCCACACACACAGAUGCGUACAGAGCACUCCCUUGGCCUCCAUUCCGCAAAUCUGGCCUCCAUUCCGCAGUGACAGAUGGAUUACCAGGACGUGUACUCCAAGCAUUCGCUGACCAACUAGCAAGUGUCUUCACUGACAUUUUCAACCUGUCCCUGACCGAGUCUGUAAUACCAACAUGUUUCAAGCAGACCACCAUAGUCCCUGUGCCCGAGAACACCAAGGUAACCUGCCUAAAUGAUUACCGACCCGUAGCACUCACGUCUGUAGCUCACAUCAACACCAUUAUCCCAGAAACCCUAGAUCCACUAUAAUUUGCAUACCGCCCCAACAUAUCCACAGAUGACGCAAUCUCUAUUGCAUUCCACACUGUCCUUUCCUACCUGGACAAAAGGAACACCUACGUGAGAAUGCUAUUCAUUGACUACAGCUCAGCGUUCAACACCAUAGUGCCCUCAAAGCUCAUCACUAAGCUAAGGACCCUGGGACUAAACACCUCCAUCUGCAACUGGAUCCUGGACUUCCUGACGGGCCGCCCCCAGGUGGUAAGGUUAGGUAACAACACAUCUACCACGCUGAUACUCAACACGGGGGCCACUCAAGGGUGGGUGCUCAGUCCCCUCCUGUACUCCCUGUUCACCCAUGACUGCAUGGCCAAGCACGACUCCAACACCAUCAUUAAGUUUGCAGACGACACAACAGUGAUAGCCUGAUCAACGAUGAAACAGCCUAUAGGGAGGAGGUCAGAGACCUGGCAGCGCUGUGCCAGGAUAACAACCUCUCCCUCAACAUGAUCAAGACAAAGGAGAUUGUGGACUACAGGAAAAGGAGGGCCGAGCACGCCCCCAUUCUCAUCAACGGUGCUGUAGUGGAGCAGGUUGAGAGCUUGUCAACAUCCCCAAAGAACUAUCAGUGUCCAAACACACCAAGACAGUCGUGAAGAGGGCACGACAAAGCCUAUUCCCCCUCAGGAGACUGAAAAGAUUUGGCAUGGGUCCUCAGAUCCUCAAAAAGCUCCACAGCUGCACCAUAGAGAACAUCCUGACUGGUUGCAUCACCGCCUGGUAUGGCAACUGCUCGGCUUCAGACCGCAAGGCUCUGCAGAGGGUAGUGCGUACGGCCCAGUACAUCACUGGGGCCAAGCUUCCUGCCAUCCAGGACCUCUAUACCAGGCAGUGUCAGAGGAAGGCCCUAACAGAGGAAGGCCCUAACAUGUGCCCCUGCACAUUGACUCUGUACCCCUUGUAUAUAGCCUCGUUACUGUUAAUUUAUUGUUGCUCUUUAAUUAUUUGUUAUUUUUCUAUUUUGUUAUUUUUCUUUUUCUUUUUUAUAUAUUUCUUUUUUACUUCAGUUUAUUUUUGUAAAUACUUAACACUUGUUUUUCUUAAAACUUAAUUGUUGGUUUGGGGGCUUGUAAGUAAGCAUGUCACUGUAAGUCCUACACCUGUUGUAUUUGGCACAUGCCAAAUAAAAUGUGAUUUGAUUGAUGAUUUGAUGUUAUUUUCCUCGCCAUAAACUAAAUCUCCUAUUACCAUAAAAAAUCUGGCUUUAUAUUCAACCAUGGCAGAUACAUUUUCUCAAAUGGGCAGAUAUUUCAUCUUACUAAAUAAAGAGCAUAUAAACUUGAAUGCACCUUCCACACAGUGAUUGCGAUACCAUCAGUGCAACCCCUCCCCCUCCCCACUGGCAACACCCUAUCCCCCAGCCCCUACCCCCCAACUCCCCAAUUAGGCUAUGUGUGUUUUUAUAUGACUCAGAGUACAGCAGGAACCCAUUCCACUGGGGGAGAGCGGGCUACUGCAUAGCGCUGAAAUCGCACUGGCUCCCGUAACGUGAGAAAUGGGUGCAGUCCAAACCCCAUGCUAAAAUAAUGACAGGCUGACCUAACUAAAGCGUCACUACAGUGUCCGUUUGGCAGUGAUUAAUGGUCGGCCCGAUAAAUCUCCAGCCCUGAAAUAACAAACAGGCCAGUGUAAUUGGCUCAGCUGGAUCUGCUGACACUAGCUGGUGUCGUGCGGUCUGCUCAAAGAGUAAAGAGAGAGAGAGAGAGAGAGAGAGAGAGAGAGAGAGAGAGAGAGAGAGAGCCUGUCACGGAAUUUUCCAAACCUCGGGUUCAGUCGUCCCCAGUCUCUGCCCCGUGCCAGCAAAGCCGUGCCUGGGAGAGCUCAGGAAUUUUAAAGCUGAGCCGACGACACUUUUAUUAAAAAAUUAAAUUAAUUUGUGAAAUAACAUCUUUAAAGUGUUUGAGGACUUUGCGUACCGCCACAGAACCAAGGGUUGGCAAAAUGUGGGAAAGGCCUCAGACUCACAAAAUCAUCACUUAGUGAAUACUAGCUGAUUUAAGAGCAGAGGUUUGUGACAAUAUAGUGCUGCCCUAUGAGUAAAGAUGACUGUUUCUUAGCUUAUUUUGCACAUCGUAAAGUCACCUGGUGUUUCAGGUGCACAUCCAAAGCUUCCAAAGACUUAAAUUACGUACAUCUGUGGUUAGAGCUUCAAUAAAGCCACCUGUCAGUCCAGUACAGUAGCUAACCUUCCUGUUAAAAACCCUCUCUCUUUAACCCUCUCUCUGGGCCUGUGAGAGACACAAACUUCGUAGCCUUUUACUGAUGAGGUAGGAAUCCAUCACCUUUCUCAGCCUGACCCUAUUGUUCAGUGGCAUAGGGCACUUCACACCUAUGUGUUAGGGACCAGUUUGCCAGGGAAAUCAGUCAGCUGACCAGGGCCAGCCAAUCACUGGCUCUCCCUGCUGGUGGUAAUAGACACCCAUUCCUGCUCGUGCUUUAGUUGCUUCCAGGAGGGCAGGGUUAGGAAGGUCGCUGUAAACUACUUGUGUUGUUAUGUGUUAAUAACAUUUAGGCUAUGUUACCCAGCAGGCUAUGCGGGUGGUUGAAGAAUGCCUUGCAUGUCUAAACAUGGAGUUUUCUAGCUGAAGUAUAUGUUCAUUAAAAGUAGUUAAACCUAUAUAUAACCUAUAUAUUAUAUAAGGAACAAACAUAACAUGGUGUCAGAUUGGUAGCCGAUAUGACGAGACAGAGAAAAGAAAGGAGUAACUGCAAAUUUCCGCGAUGAAAAUGGAACAUUCUACCACAAGUCAAGUGACGUGAGUAGUUGAAGACGCUAGCUUGCAAGAGCGAGGACAACGAGCCGCAGCAGCGAGAGGGACAGCAGCGAGAGUGACAGCAGCGAGAGGGACAGCAGCGAGAGGGACAGCAGCGAGAGCGACAGCAGUGAGAGGGACAGCAGCGAGAGCGACAGCAGCGAGAGGGACAGCAGCGAGAGCGACAGCAGCGAGAGGGACAGCAGCGAGAGGGACAGCAGCGAGAGUGACAGCAGCGAGAGUGACAGCAGCGAGAGGGACAGCAGCGAGAGGGACAGCAGCGAGAGGGACAGCAGCGAGAGUGACAGCAGCGAGAGUGACAGCAGCGAGAGUGACAGCAGCAAGAGGGACAGCAGAGAGAGGGUCAGCAGCGAGAGUGAUAGCAGCGAGAGGGACAGCAGCGAGAGGGACAGCAGCGAGAGGGACAGCAGCGAGAGUGACAGCAGCGAGAGUGACAGCAGCGAGAGCGAGGCUGCAUUGGAAUCUGUGGACGAGCAAGUUGAUGAGCAACAUACUGAAGUAAGAGAAAUCGACACUGUUCCUGUUCUCCGUCAUGGAUAGGCUUAGUCCUCCUACUCCUAUGCAGUUAACAGGCAAUCUAGCUGACAUUUGGAAACGUUUCAAGCAGAGAUUCAAUAUCUACCUAGCAGCCAGUGGUGCAGGGGGAGAUGAUGACAAAUUGAAAGCUUCCAUUUGUCUGCAUGUUAUUGGAGAGGAUGCAUUGGACAUUUACAAAAGCUUUCAGCAAGACGAGGCAAACUUGACAUUGACUGUGUUAAUGGCUAAAUUUGAGGAGUACUUUGUACCAAACCAGAAUGUCACAUUUGAGAGAUACAGGUUUUUCUCUCAUGAUCAGAGACAGGGAGUCAGUUUUGACCAGUAUUUGGCUGAGCUGAACACACUGAGCAAAACGUGUGAAUUUGAAAAUCUGAAAAACUCACAAGUGAAAGACAGGAUAGUCUGUGGCAUACUUGAUAAUGGACUCAAGGAGAGAUUGCUGCGUGAGCAAGAUUGAACUUUGGAUAAAGCUGUGAAUAUGUGUCGAGCAGCUGAAACCACCAGAGCACAAGCUAAAGAGCUGUGCAGGGAUGAGACGUCAGUGUAUACAAUAAAAAGGGAGGAGCACCACACACACAACGCUUUACAAAACAUAAACAAGCAAAAGAGAGAAAUCAAAACACUACAUGUGGAAAAUGUGGAUUUAUCCACAAGCCAAAAAAAUGCCCUGCAUAUGGCAAAUCAUGUAACAACUGAGGGAAAAAAUGAUCAUUUCUCAAAAUGCUGCAAAGCUCUCCUACAAAGAAAAAGGUUCACACAGUCGAGGAGAUGGAAUAAUUCUUUGUUUAUUCUGUGGAAAUAUGCAAUGCAGUAAAUGCUGAAUAGAUUGUGCCAUUGACUGUGAAUGAAACUAUAAUACCAUUCAAGCUUGAUAAUGGAGCACAGGUAAACCUGUUAUCGCUGGAUGACUACAAAACACUGAAGGUGAAGAGCAAAAUACACCCGGUGAAAAUGAAGGUUACUGGUUAUACUGGGGAGAACGUACCAGUCAAAGGUAGCUGCAUAGUAACUUUACAGCACAAAGGAAAACAGUUCAGAGCACAGCUGCUGAUUGUGGAAAAGAGUGUACAGCCUAUUCUAGGAAUCAAUGCAUGUGAAAAGCUCAAUUUGUUGAAAAGAGUGUAUGUAGUGACAUCACAGACUGAAAAUGACCAAGAAUCGCUACUGGCUGAAUAUGAGGAUUUGUUUGAGGGUCUUGGAUGUUUACCAGGAGAACACAAAAUAUGUACUGAUGACAAAAUGACUCCAGUUGUGCAUGCAUGCAGAAAAGUUCCAUUUGCACUGAGGAAAAAACUCAAAGAUGAACUUGGACGCAUGGAAAAGAUGGACGUCAUCACAAAAAUGGAUGAACCUACAGACUGGGUAAAACUCACUGGUCAUUGUGGUGAAAAAGAACGACGAUCUCAGGAUAUGUCUAGACCCGAGAGAUAUCAACAAAGCAAUCAAGAGAGAGCAUUUCAAGUUGCCAACCAGAGAAGAGAUAAUGUCGCAGUUUUCUGGAGCAAAGUGGUUCAGUAAGCUUGAUGCCUCAUCAGGAUUCUGGCAAAGGAAGCUAGAUGAUGCAAGCUCAAGGCUAUGCACAUUCAACACACCUGAGGGCAGGUACAGAUUUCUUCGUCUACCAUACAGGAUUCUUUCAGCGCCAGAGGUCUACCACAAGACAACCCACAUGAUCUUCGAGCACAUUCCAGGAGUGGAGAGUCUGGGGGUCCAGAAAAGAAGAACACAAUGCGAGAGUGAGACAAGUGCUGGACCUGACACGGAAAGUCAACCUAAAACUAAACAAGGACAAAUGCGAGUUUGGUGUGAAAACACUUACCUUCGUGGGAGACAUACUUUCAGAGGAUGGAGUCAAACCAGACCCGAGGGAAACAUCAGCCAUCAACAACACGGAGCACCCGAAGAACAAGGACGAUGUGAGAAGCUUCAUGGGCAUGAUCACCUACCUUGCAAAGUUCAUACCUCAACUGUCAGCACAGUCCGCUCCACUCAGAUGUCUUCUGGAACAGAAAAAUAAAUGGGAAUGGUCCCAUGAACAGGAAAACUGCUUCAAAAACCUAAAGAAGACAAUCACAGAAGAGCCAGUGCUCAGGUUCUAUGAUCCAGAGAAAAGCACAAGAAUCCAGAGAAUGUUGAUUAGACUGCAAAAGUAUGAUGUGAAGAUGAUCUAUACCCCAGUCGACAAGAAGGAGCGCUUCGACACACAGAAAAACACAGAUUCAGGCCUACGUCGAUAUGAUCGUAGCAUCACUUCCUGUGUCCUCUGAGAGAAUGGAGCAGAUCAAAAGAGGGACCGCAGCUGACCAAACAAUGACAGAGUUGAAAGAAACAACACUGAUAGGAUGGCCCGCACAGAAAAACAACUGUCCAAGGAGAAUACAGGAUUACUGGAUGUGCAGAGCAGAGCUCACCGUUGUGGAUGACAUAGUGUUCAAAGGCAACAAGAUUGUCAUUCCCAUGACACUACGCAAAGAAAUGCUACAGAAAAUACACGAGGGCCACUAGGAUGAGGAAAAAUGCAAAUGACGAGCACGAGAAGUAAUGUACUGGCCAAGAAUAAACCAGGAAAUCAGCCAGACCACUGAUUCAUGUGAACUGUGUUUGACCUACAGGCCAAAGCAGCAAGCAGAGCCGCUAAUGCAUCAUCCAGUACCCAAUAGACCCUACUACAAAAUUGUCAAAGGUCUGAUGAAAAAGGCACACGAUGGAAAGGAUUUCCUAAAGAAUCUGAUGAUCUACCGCAGCGCACCGCUGCAGAACGGACUUUCACCUGCACAAAUGUUGAUGGGACGUCGCAUCAGAACCAACCUACCCAUCCAUGAGGACUUGCUAACACCCAGAAGUGCUCACAAAGUCAAACCCGCGAAGGAAAAACAGAGAAACAAACAAAAACAACGACACAACAAAAGUGCAAGACACUUACCUGAACUGAAACCUGGAGAUCAUGUACGACUCCGAGACAUCACUACAGGAACCUGGAUGCAGCAAGGGUGUGUGCAGAGAGAAGUUGCACCGCGAUCCUAUGAGAUCCAAACGCAGCAUGGAUCACAACUGAGACGAAACAGAGUGGAUCUAAGGCUGCAGCCAUUCACUCAAGGGACUGAAGAUCAUCAGGAGGAUACUGCUGAAGCGUCAAAUGCCUUUAGAAAUGGACAAUUCAGUCAGAACACCCUGACUGACAAUGAACUCUGUCCAACUGUUUCAGGAAGCACUUUAGCAGAACGACCAAAAAGGACUGUCAGAGCUCCUGAAAGGCUUAUUGAGAAUUGCUAAAAAAAUAUAUUUAAAAAAAGGGGCACCUGGACUGAAUGUUUUGCUAAUGUGAAAAGAAAGAGCCACAAUAGAGUAUUGUUGGAAAAAAAAAAUUGGGGGGAAAGAAAUGUGUGUUAUUGAAAAUGGCAUGUUAUGCAGGUUGAGUAAACAAAUGUGAUGUGACGUGUAGUUACAUAGAAAAGUAGUUUUCUUUUAAAGGAAAGAAGAUGUGUUGUUAUGUGUUAAUAACAUUUAGGCUACGUUACCCAGCAGGCUAUGCGAGUGGUUGAAGAAUGCCUUGCAUGGCUAAACAUGGAGUUUUCAAGCAGAAGUAUAUGUUCAUUAAAAGUAGUUAAACCUA